rnacentral:rRNA from 1 species
UUCCCAUGCCGAACACGGAAGUUAAGCUCUUCAGCGCCGAUGGUAGUUGGGGGUUUCCCCCUGUGAGAGUAGGACGUUGCUAGAC